rnacentral:rRNA from 1 species
GACGAACGCUGGCGGCGUGCUUAACACAUGCAAGUCGAGCGGUAAGGCCCUUUCGGGGGUACGACGAGCGGCGAACGGGUGAGUAACACGUGGGUGACCUGCCCUCAGCUCUGGGAUAAGCCUGGGAAACCGGGUCUAAUACUGGAUAUGACUCCAUGACGCAUGUUGUGGGGUGGAAAGCCUUGUGCGGCUGAGGAUGGGCCCGCGGCCUAUCAGCUUGUUGGUGGGGUGANGGGCCUACCAAGGCGACGACGGGUAGCCGGCCUGAGAGGGCGACCGGCCACACUGGGACUGAGACACGGCCCAGACUCCUACGGGAGGCAGCAGUGGGGAAUCUUGCGCAAUGGGCGAAAGCCUGACGCAGCGACGCCGCGUGAGGGAUGACGGCC